rnacentral:rRNA from 1 species
UACGAAGGGGGCUAGCGUUGUUCGGAAUUACUGGGCGUAAAGCGCGCGCAGGCGGUCUUCCAAGUCAGUGGUGAAAGCCCGGAGCUCAACUCCGGAACUGCCAUUGAAACUGUUGGACUUGAGUACGAGAGAGGUGAGUGGAAUUCCCAGUGUAGAGGUGAAAUGCGUAGAUAUCGGGAGGAACACCUGUGGCGAAAGCGGCUCACUGGACCAUAACUGACGCUGAGGAGCGAAAGCGUGGGGAGCGAACAGG